GUGUCAGCCGCCGCGGUAAGACGGAGGAGGCAAGCGUUAUCCGGAAUUAUUGGGCGUAAAGCGUCCGCAGGCGGUUAUUUAAGUCUGUUGUCAAAGGUCACAGCUCAACUGUGGAUCGGCAAUGGAAACUGGGUGACUUGAGUGUGGUAGGGGUAGAGGGAAUUCCCGGUGUAGCGGUGAAAUGCGUAGAUAUCGGGAAGAACACCAGUGGCGAAGGCGCUCUACUGGGCCACAACUGACGCUGAGGGACGAAAGCUAGGGGAGCGAAAGGGAUUAGAAACCCUUGUAGUCC
rnacentral:rRNA from 1 species